rnacentral:rRNA from 1 species
AGUGAACGCUGGCGGUAGGCCUAACACAUGCAAGUCGAACGGCAGCACAGUAAGAGCUUGCUCUUACGGGUGGCGAGUGGCGGACGGGUGAGGAAUACAUCGGAAUCUACUUUUUCGUGGGGGAUAACGUAGGGAAACUUACGCUAAUACCGCAUACGACCUACGGGUGAAAGCAGGGGAUCUUCGGACCCUGCGCGAUUGAAUGAGCCGAUGUCGGAUUAGCUAGUUGGCGGGGUAAAGGCCCACCAAGGCGACGAUCCGUAGCUGGUCUGAGAGGAUGAUCCGCCACACUGGGACUUGGGCACGGUCCAGAAUCCUACGGGAGGCAGGCGUGGGGAAUAUUUGACCAUUGGGCGCAACCUGACCCAGCCAUACCGCGUGGGUGAAGAAGGCCUUCGGGUUGUAAAGCCCUUUUGUUGGGAAAGAAAAGCAGCAGGUUAAUACCCCGCUGUUCUGACGGUACCCAAAGAAUAAGCACCGGCUAACUUCGUG